GCGGAUAUGGCGGAAUAGGCAGACGCGCUAGAUUCAGGUUCUAGUCCUCGCGAGGGGGUACAGGUUCAAGUCCUGCUAUCCGCA
rfam:Ruminococcus sp. DSM 100440 contig00020, whole genome shotgun sequence.